rnacentral:rRNA from 1 species
AGAGUUUGAUCCUGGCUCAGAACGAACGCUGGCGGCAGGCUUAACACAUGCAAGUCGAGCGCCUCGCAAGAGGAGCGGCAGACGGGUGAGUAACGCGUGGGAAUCUACCUUUUGCUACGGAAUAACUCAGGGAAACUUGAGCUAAUACCGUAUGUGCCCUUUGGGGGGAAAGAUUUAUCGGCAAAGGAUGAGCCCGCGUUGGAUUAGGUAGUUGGUGGGGUAAUGGCCUACCAAGCCGACGAUCCAUAGCUGGUCUGAGAGGAUGAUCAGCCACAUUGGGACUGAGACACGGCCCAAACUCCUACGGGAGGCAGCAGUGGGGAAUAUUGGACAAUGGGCGCAAGCCUGAUCCAGCCAUGCCGCGUGAGUGAUGAAGGCCCUAGGGUUGUAAAGCUCUUUCACCGGUGAAGAUAAUGACGGUAACCGGAGAAGAAGCCCCGGCUAACUUCGUGCCAGCAGCCGCGGUAAUACGAAGGGGGCUAGCGUUGUUCGGAAUUACUGGGCGUAAAGCGCACGUAGGCGGACAUUUAAGUCAGGGGUGAAAUCCCGGGGCUCAACCCCGGAACUGCCUUUGAUACUGGGUGUCUUGAGUUCGAGAGAGGUGAGUGGAAUUCCGAGUGUAGAGGUGAAAUUCGUAGAUAUUCGGAGGAACACCAGUGGCGAAGGCGGCUCACUGGCUCGAUACUGACGCUGAGGUGCGAAAGCGUGGGGAGCAAACAGGAUUAGAUACCCUAGUAGUCC